CAUGCAAGUCGGACGGGAUCCGUCGGAGAGCUUGCUCGAAGACGGUGAGAGUGGCGCACGGGUGCGUAACGCGUGAGCAACCUACCUCUAUCAGGGGGAUAGCCUCUCGAAAGAGAGAUUAACACCGCAUAACAUAUCUGACCGGCAUCGGUUAGCUAUUAAAUAUUUAUAGGAUAGAGAUGGGCUCGCGUGACAUUAGCUAGUUGGUAGGGUAACGGCUUACCAAGGCGACGAUGUCUAGGGGCUCUGAGAGGAGAAUCCCCCACACUGGUACUGAGACACGGACCAGACUCCUACGGGAGGCAGCAGUAAGGAAUAUUGGUCAAUGGGCGGAAGCCUGAACCAGCCAUGCCGCGUGCAGGAUGACUGCCCUAUGGGUUGUAAACUGCUUUUGUCCAGGAAUAAACCUUUCUACGUGUAGGAAGCUGAAUGUACUGGAAGAAUAAGGAUCGGCUAACUCCGUGCCAGCAGCCGCGGUAAUACGGAGGAUCCGAGCGUUAUCCGGAUUUAUUGGGUUUAAAGGGUGCGUAGGCGGCCUAUUAAGUCAGGGGUGAAAUACGGUGGCUCAACCAUCGCAGUGCCUUUGAUACUGAUGGGCUUGAAUCCAUUUGAAGUGGGCGGAAUAAGACAAGUAGCGGUGAAAUGCAUAGAUAUGUCUUAGAACUCCGAUUGCGAAGGCAGCUCACUAAGCUGGUAUUGACGCUGAUGCACGAAAGCGUGGGGAUCGAACAGGAUUAGAUACCCUGGUAGUCCACGCCCUAAACGAUGAUAACUCGAUGUUGGCGAUAGACAGCCAGCGUCCAAGCGAAAGCGUUAAGUUAUCCACCUGGGGAGUACGCCCGCAAGGGUGAAACUCAAAGGAAUUGACGGGGGCCCGCACAAGCGGAGGAGCAUGUGGUUUAAUUCGAUGAUACGCGAGGAACCUUACCCGGGCUUGAAAGUUAGUGAAGAAUGCAGAGACGCAUUCGUCCUUCGGGACACGAAACUAGGUGCUGCAUGGCUGUCGUCAGCUCGUGCCGUGAGGUGUUGGGUUAAGUCCCGCAACGAGCGCAACCCCUAUGUUUAGUUGCCAGCAUGUAAUGGUGGGGACUCUAAACAGACUGCCUGUGCAAACAGUGAGGAAGGUGGGGACGACGUCAAGUCAUCAUGGCCCUUACGUCCGGGGCUACACACGUGCUACAAUGGAUGGUACAGCGGGCAGCUACAUAGCAAUAUGAUGCUAAUCUCUAAAAGCCAUUCACAGUUCGGAUUGGGGUCUGCAACUCGACCCCAUGAAGUUGGAUUCGCUAGUAAUCGCGUAUCAGCAAUGACGCGGUGAAUACGUUCCCGGGCCUUGUACACACCGCCCGUCAAGCCAUGAAAGUUGGGGGUACCUAAAGC
rnacentral:rRNA from 1 species